GCGGCCUGAGCAGGAAAGGAAAGGAGAUGUCCAUCUUAGUAAAGGGAAAUGUUUCUUCUGUAACUGGAAAACCUCAGCUUUCAUCUCCGACUUUAUCCCUCAUUUAACAUGAAUGGAACAAGGCAUCUGGAUCACUCAGAAGACCGUAAGGAAAGGGAUGGAUGGAGGCACUCCCCACUACCAAGAAAACAAAAGAUGUGAUGCCUCAGGUACUCCUGGAACACAUCAACCCCUGGUUUGGCAUGCCACCCCCUAAGCUCCUGGGACAUCAAAGCUGGGUCAAAUCCACAAUUUUUAUCAUCCCGGUGGCUCCUCCCAACCUUUCUUCUAGUUGACUUUCAUAAGUCACACAGAGCUACUCCAGAACAGUGAGUGCAAUGCAGGGAGC